rnacentral:tRNA from 1 species
GAGGGUAUAGCUCAGUGGUAGAGUGUGUGCUUAGAAUGCACAGGUCCUGGAUUCUGGCCCCAGUGCCUCCA